rnacentral:rRNA from 1 species
UAGGGAAUCUUCCACAAUGGACGCAAGUCUGACGGAGCAACGCCGCGUGAGUGAAGAAGGUUUUCGGACCGUAAAGCUCUGUUGUUGGUGAAGAAGGAUAGAGGUAGUAACUGGCCUUUAUUUGACGGUAAUCAACCAGAAAGUCACGGCUAACUACGUGCCAGCAGCCGCGGUAAUACGUAGGUGGCAAGCGUUGUCCGGAUUUAUUGGGCGUAAAGCGAGCGCAGGCGGAAGAAUAAGUCUGAUGUGAAAGCCCUCGGCUUAACCGAGGAAUUGCAUCGGAAACUGUUUUCUUGAGUGCAGAAGAGGAGAGUAGAACUCCAUGUGUAGCGGUGGAAUGCGUAGAUAUAUGGAAGAAUACCAGUGGCGAAGGCGGCUCUCUGGUCUGCAACUGACGCUGAGGCUCGAAAAGCAUGGGUAGCGAACAGGAUUAGAUACCCUGGUAGUCCAUGCCGUAAAACGAUGAGUGCUAAGUGUUGGGAGGCUUCCGCCUCUCAGUGCUGCAGCUAACGCAUUAAGCACUCCGCCUGGGGGAGUACGACCGC